UAAGUCAGCCACGAAUAGGCUAUCCCAACUAACGGCGGGAAAGACUCCACGGAGGGUGUAAGACCCGUGUGGGCGCGUGUUAAAGCUGUGUGGGCUCGGCCUCUAUUCCCUGAGAGUCGCGUUGCUUGAGCAUGCAGCGCUAAGCAGGUCGUAAACUCGAUCUAAGGCUAAAUAUGUCCACAGAACCGAUAGCGAACAAGUACCGUGAGGGAAAGUUGAAAAGCACUCUGGAGAGAGAGUCAAAAGACCGUGAAACCGCUCAGAGUAUAAGCCCAUGGCAGCUUGGAAGGCAUAUCGCUAGCGGGGCAUCGGUCUUCCUUCGCGGGGAGCUGGUGUUACCUUGCUUCUGUUGUGGCUCGUUAUGGUAGGGGGGUCAAGUCCACAUCCCGCCGUCGUGUGGGGGGUUCUCGGGUGUGUUGUGGUUUCUUUGUUGGCUUCGGCUGGCAGAGGGGCUCUUCGUGCUCGGUUCCUCUUUAGACACGGACGUUCAGACUCAGAGGCAAGACGCGAUAAACAGCCCACCACGGCACGUUGUGAGGUCACCCACAGGCUCGACUUUCGAUCGUGAGCCUUGACGCCGAGCAAGCACAAUGCGUGUCGCUGAGGUUCCUAACCAGGCAUAGGUGCCAGGAUCGUGGAACGACACGUGCUCAACAGUCAGGUUCGGGCGGAGACAGAGUUCUGGUACGAUCCUCUUGCGACGAGCCGGCUUCUGGCCAACAUCCGAUGCUCAGGUCUCCCGCAUGUGCCGCGGGAGAUCGCCCUUGACGGUCUGGA
rnacentral:rRNA from 2 species